AGAGUUUGAUCAUGGCUCAGAACGAACGCUGGCGGCGUGCUUAACACAUGCAAGUCGAGUGCGCGUGCCGUAGCAAUACGGCAUGGCGCACGGCGCACGGGUGCGUAACACGUGGGCAAUCUGCCCUCCGAUGGGGAAUAACUCCGGGAAACCGAAGCUAAUUCCGCAUAACAUUCUCUGGACUCCGGUUCGGGGAAUCAAAGCAGCAAUGCGCCGGAGGAGGAGCCCGCGCCCGAUUAGCUAGUUGGCAGGGUGACGGCCUACCAAGGCAAUGAUCGGUAGCUGGUCUGAGAGGAUGGCCAGCCACACUGGAACUGAGACACGGUCCAGACUCCUACGGGAGGCAGCAGUGGGGAAUCUUGCGCAAUGGGCGAAAGCCUGACGCAGCGACGCCGCGUGGGGGAUGAAGUUUCUCGGAGUGUAAACCCCUUUCGACCGGGACGAAUGCCCGCAAGGGAGUGACGGUACCGGUAGAAGAAGCCCCGGCUAACUACGUGCCAGCAGCCGCGGUAAGACGUAGGGGGCCAGCGUUGUUCGGAAUUACUGGGUGUAAAGGGUUCGUAGGCGGUGUGGCAAGUCGGGAGUGAAAUUUCUGGGCUUAACUCAGAGGCUGCUUCCGAAACUGCUGUGCUCGAGUGUGGGAGAGGCGCGUGGAAUUGCAGGUGUAGCGGUGAAAUGCGUAGAUAUCUGCAGGAACACCCGUGGCGAAAGCGGCGCGCUGGACCAUUACUGACGCUGAGGAACGAAAGCUAGGGGAGCGAACAGGAUUAGAUACCCUGGUAGUCCUAGCCCUAAACGA
rnacentral:rRNA from 1 species